CUGUGGCAGAGACUGUAGCGUGUGAGCUUUACAUGAGAGAGGUCAGGGGUUCAAGACUGAGUCGAUGGGUGUGAGGUAUGGGUAGGCCUGUCAUGGGAGGCGGAAAAAUGGCCAGCAGGAAGGUGUGCAGCAGCCACUGGAAUGACCUCUUCCACCUCCUCCACUAACAGCUCCUCAUCAGCCGGCAGUGGGAUGUGAUCCUGAAGGGCCAUGUUGCAGAAGCGC